ACCCGUCUAGCUCAGUCGGUAGAGCGCUGGCCUAUUAAGCCAGUGGUCGUGGGUUCGGGCCCCACGGGGGGUG
rfam:Phytophthora infestans T30-4 supercont1.10 genomic scaffold, whole genome shotgun sequence.